UCGUAUAACGGAGGUGCCGGGGCUGUCGCUAACUUUGUGCACGCCCUGGUACUCUCUCACAAAAUCCAUCUCACCCCCUUUGUGCACCACCGCGUGGGUGCUCUCCUUUUGGUUCGUUCCGAAAGGGGGCAUUUGCGUUUUUAUACAAAACCACUGCAUGUGUAGAAUGUCUUACCUUUUUGCGAUUAUGCGCAAUCAAUA
rnacentral:misc_RNA from 1 species